CCACAUGACUCGCCUAAUCCUCAAAUCUGAUGAGGAACGGAGGAACCACAUCUGGGGUGAACUCGCCAACGUGCGAGCGGGUAUCCUUCACCCGAACCCGUCAGCUAACUCCGGCGGCGAUUAGAAGGAGAGUG
rnacentral:sRNA from 1 species